rnacentral:rRNA from 1 species
GACGAACGCUGGCGGCGUGCUUAACACAUGCAAGUCGAACGGAAAGGCCCUGCUUGCAGGGUGCUCGAGUGGCGAACGGGUGAGUAACACGUGGGUGAUCUGCCCCUUACUUUGGGAUAAGCCUGGGAAACUGGGUCUAAUACUGGAUAGGACCAUGCUGUAGGUGGUGUGGUGGAAAGAUUAGUUUCGGUAAGGGAUGAGCUCGCGGCCUAUCAGCUUGUUGGUGGGGUAAUGGCCUACCAAGGCGUCGACGGGUAGCCGGCCUGAGAGGGUGGACGGCCACAUUGGGACUGAGAUACGGCCCAGACUCCUACGGGGGGCAGCAGUGGGGAAGAGUGCACAAUGGGCGCAAGCCUGAUGCAGCGACGCCGCGUGGGGGAUGACGGCCUUCGGGUUGUAAACUCCUUUCAGCCAUGACGAAGCCCUUGUGGUGACGGUAGUGGUAGAAGAAGCACCGGCUAACUACGUG